UUUAGAGAGCUUCUCAUAUCUAUUUAAAAUUUGUCCCACAAUUUAUUUUGUGUGUCCAUUCAUCCUCCAAAAUAAUUAUCUAUAUGUUACAUUAAUAAUGGUUCCCAAUAAUAAUGAAAGAAAGAAAAAAAAAAAAAACAAAUUACAAAAAGAACAAUGAAUAGAUAUAUGCUCUUUCAUAUUUUACACUACCAAACAUAAAAUAUAAAUCAUGCAUGUGUAAAUAUGAUUUGCAAUUUGCAAAAAUUUACUUUAAAUAAAUAAACCAAAUAAAAAAAUUACUCCUCAAAAAAAUUUCAUGCUUGACAAAAUAAAUUUUAUGAAAAAAAAAAUAUUUUAGUUGUUGAGUUGCUCACAAGCAUGCAUUGUGAUGAUGUGACACUC
rnacentral:lncRNA from 1 species